GGAGAAAUUUAGGACCCGACACUGCAAUGGACUGUCUCCUCAGUUUUCUCCAACCUGUGACAGUUUUCAGUCUUUUCUUGUCUUCAGGAGCUUCAGCAUGAUCUUGACAAUGAUCUUUACAUUUAGGGACAGGAAAGAUACAAGACCGAGCAAGCAAGUUUCUGUGUGAGCACUUACUAUGGAGAGCAGGCCAUCCACUCAGCAGCUGUGAUAAGAGCAGAACACACACACGGAAAGGCACUGGUCCUGAGUGGUGUGAGAGCUGAGAAACAAAGCCUCGGUCCAAGCCUGCUUUAUUGGUAGAUGAGAAAGGAUCAAAUAGCAAGUGAGUAUGUGCCACAACUUCACACUGCAUGUCUCUAAAGAAACCACUAUGUCCAUGAAGUCUAGACGGAGCAAAUUACUUGGAUUCUUAUGGUAACAGAGAUUCGUAAUAUAACAUGUAAUGUCCUCAAGCAACAAUUCUAUAGAGACAUUCUCAUGGGUAUUCAUAAUGUUGGAAUCCUAUCAGUGAGCAAUUUGCCUUGUUUGAUGAAAGCUCUACUCUAGUUGUUAAGUACACACAGUCCAUAUCCAAACACACCAUAUCUUUUUCAGCACAGGUGGGGCAACUAGGUCAUAGAAGACUUUGAGCAAAUAAGAUUUUAUGAUAAUGCUCCGCUCUCCACCCUUCUUCUGCUUCACCCAGCCCAUAGAAAUCUUAGAAGCUGUUCAUUAGCCAAAGCUUUCUGGGUUUCUUGCCAAAAGACACACCCAGGAAGGCUCUUUUUCCCAUAUCUAGUUACUAGCCCCUUUUCUGGCUAAGGAACCUCCUCAGUUUUCAUUUCCAAGACGUACUCUACAAUCCAGGCACCAAGUUAAUUUGGCUUCUUCUGGAAGAGCAACACUACAAUUUAUCACCAAUAUUUAUGAUGAAAUUGUUAAAAACUCAUUUCAAAAUAUCCCUGAGUUUUAUUUUAAGCGAGUUAUAUUUUCUUGUUCUUAGUUUAGCAAGUCACAGUUGAUGUUAGACUUUAUCCUGUCCUGCCUAGAGGGAAAAUGUGACUUAUCUUCCUUGCCAAGAAUCUCUCCCUCAGUGUAAAUGUUUUCCAUGUCUUAUAUCAUGCUAUACUCACAUGGUAAAUACUGGCAAGGACUGGAAAUAACACAAUAUAGAGGUAAAAGCCCUGGAUAAAAGUUAUAAUAUCUGCAUUCAAAUUACGGCCUUAAUAUUGUUUGUCCCUGGGGAAGCCAGUGACCUGUCUGUGUUCAGUUUCCCCAUCUAUAUGUUAUUUAUAUAUUUUUCAUACCUAUAAUUAUAUUUACAAUAUGGUAGGCUAUUCCGUGGCUGCAGAAUUUAUCCCUUUAGGAGGAAGAUAUUACCUAAAAUAGUCAUCCUUGUUGUCCAAAGAUGCUUCUUUUUAAACUUCAUAGUAGCAACAAUAAUUCUAAAAACUUCAUAGUAGAAACAAUAAUUCUCAAAUCUUUCCACUGUUUUUACAUCAAAAUCAAAUCUUGGAGGUAAAUGAUAAGUGUAUCUCAAUUUGCCAGAACUUUCCCAUUUUGUCAGUGGAAGCUCAAGAAUCCUUCUCAGUUCCAGGGCAAUCAGGGAUCACACUGCUUGGAAGUUUCAUGAUGAACCACAGUAAAGUGAUAACGAAGAAAUGGGGGAAAUAAUGUGAGGAGGAAUGGUUAUUCUAGUAAUCUAAUGACUAAACUGAAAGGGUUUUGGCCCAGACAGGACACUGUAGCCAGGAAAGCCUCAACCGGAAGCAGGAAGCCCCUAUUUCCCCCGCCCCUAGGAAUUUACCUCUGGCGCCAAACCUAGGAUUAAUGGGCUACCUGUGCAUCCCUAAUGCCCCCUUAGGUUCCACCCCAAACCGAGGCUACUUAUAUACCCUCCACGCCAUGUGUCCGCCAGACGCCAAUGGUGGGGGGUGCCGGUCAUCUCUCUCCGUGUUUUCAGAAUAAAGGCUGCUUUUUGUUUUAUACUUCUCAUCUUUUGGAAAUACUUCUCAUGUUUUGGAAAUAAUCCUAUCAUAAACCUGCAUGUAUAUUUAAGUAUACAAGAUAGAUAACCAUACUACUAAGUUUUUGUUAGUUCAUCAAACAGAAUGGUUUGUACUGUCAUUGUUUGAUGAUCUGUCCACUUUUUAUGCUUUGAUUUUGUAACUUGAACAACUACUUAUUAGGUAAUAAUAUGUAAUUUAUCAACUAGUGAUUUCUUAUUGUUAUUUUUUUGACUGAUGAUUUCUUACUGUUGUUUUUGUAAUUCUGUAUUAUUUCUACCCUGUUAUCUGUUUUACUUUUUUUUCUCUAAAUAAAAAAAAUCUAAUAAGCAAUCACCUCUAAAAA